CAGUAGCCGCGGGAAUACGAAGGGUGCAAGCGUUACUCGGAAUUACUGGGCGUAAAGCGUGCGUAGGUGGUGGUUUAAGUCCGUUGUGAAAGCCCUGGGCUCAACCUGGGAAUUGCAGUGGAUACUGGGUCACUAGAGUGUGGUAGAGGAUAGUGGAAUUUCCGGUGUAGCAGUGAAAUGCGUAGAGAUCGGAAGGAACAUCUGUGGCGAAGGCGACUAUCUGGGCCAACACUGACACUGAGGCACGAAAGCGUGGGGAGCAAACAGGAUUAGAUACCCCUGUAGUCCCUGUCUCUUAUCC
rnacentral:rRNA from 1 species